AUACAGAAUACGUCAGUUGUCCUUUCAUUUCAUAAACAAAUGUUGUGGAGGUACGUUGAUAUUGAUUCCAAUAAAAAUUUAAGUACUAAAGACCCAUCGAGCCUUUAAAGAAGAACUCGCAUUUAUUGCAAUGAGGGCAAAGUGGAGGAAGAAGCGUAUGCGAAGGCUAAAACGUAAGCGAAGGAAGAUGCGUGCGAGGUCCAAGUAGACAUUUCCAACAGAUUCAUCCACUUUGGAGAACUCGUACAUUAUUUUUAAGUAAUACAAAGUCAUUUGUGUUUAACAAUAAAGUUUCAUAAAGUA